rnacentral:lncRNA from 1 species
UCACCGUUAUUUUUACACUAACCGUAAGUAAACGCACUGCCCAUCCAAACUCACCCUAAAUCAUCUAAAUCAAUUAUAAAACUGUCAAAAUUAACUAAACCGAAACUGAAGAAAAUGACUGUUCUGCUCACCCCUACCCUAAAGUGCCUAAAAGUAACACAAAUCAGAGCAAAAAAUAAAAAAUUAACCCCCCCUGUUCCCUAAGGUUUUCGGCCCGUCAUUCACCCCUCUGCUGCUCCUGCCUCCUGUUUCGCCUUUUGUGACCAUCUUCUACUGAGCUCUGUUACUUCUGCCCCUACUGCCAAAAACCACGGUGGAGUUUUUUCUUAUGGAUUAUUAUU